CAAUAGUGCUCAGAUGGCCAGGUCUCGGGUGGGCAGGCCCCCAGGAUGGCCAGAGCAUGCGGCCAUAUAGCUCAAAUGGCCACAAGGUAGAGCAGCGACAGUGGAAGCAAAGAACUGAAAGCAUUAUUCAGUUCAGUCUCCUCUCAUUCAUCCCUUGCUCGCUCACUUGCACACUUGCACACUUGCUCAUUCAACAAACAUUUAGGGAGUGUCUGGUGUGAGGGACACUGUGGUGAACAAGAUGUGGGAUUGUCUCCAGAAGUGCUCACAAAGAAGUUGAGAGAUUCAGGCUCCUAUCCUGGCCCUGCCACCUUUGAGCCAUGUGACUUGGAACUGAGCCACUUCUUUACGGGCUUCGUGGAAGCAUCUGUAAAAACAGACCUUGCCUCACACAUACAGAGGCCUUAUGAGGCUAACAGAGAAGAAAGGGCUUUGUAAACUAAAAUCUAUAGGAUAAAUCUAGGACUGUAAGUUGUCUAUUUGGAAUAUAAUAGUAAUGACUGUUUUCUGAGUACUUGCCAGGUGUAGGUAUUAUACUAAGGAUGUCGCAUGCGUUAGCUCAUUUAAUCUUCACAACACCUGUAGGGAAUAGUUUUUAAUAUUCCUCUUUCGCAGAUAAGAAAGUGGAGGGCAAGAGAAUGUUAAUUUGCUUGUUCAAGUCCCCCAGCAAGUCAGUGAUAGAGCUGGAAUUGAACUUUAGGUGGUUAGACACCAAGUCCAACAUGUGCUUUCUGCACCACUUUGCCCUUGGAACUCUUAUCCUUAAGCCAGUUCUCCUGGUCUCACCUUGGGUUCUAACUGCUGGAUCUUCCUGGAAUUGUUCACACAUCCGGCCAGGGGCCCAGCGACCUGCUUUUACCUCUCAUUUUCUGCACUAUCCAGGGCUCGGCCUUGCCUGUGCAGGGACCCAGAACUUUGCCCAUUCUGUAGCUCCUGAGGAGCCUGACCUGUGCAUGGCACUAGAGCUGGAACUCUGCCUACCAAGGAGCAGGCUCUGCAAGUGCAACCAAGGAGGAGUCUGGUCAGUAAGCUUGAAACCAUAGCCUUUCAUAUACAUGAGAAGCAAUAAGGAAGCAGCGAGGGCUCAGAUGGACCCCAACAUGAGAGUCACUCCUCUCCUAGGCCAAGGAGGAUGUUGCUGCCAUAGACAGCAUCGGCAAGCAGAAGUGCCUCAUAAAACCAAACCUGGUGGCCAGAGUUGACCUGCCUCCCUAGAGCAGUACAUGAAUCAUCAAGGCGUCCAUCUGGUCUCCUCCUGUGCAUCUGUCGCUGGAUCUAGCAAAAGGCUGGGCACUAUGGACUGAUCUAAAGGAGGGACGGGAGGCCAGAACCCACCCACUAGUCCUAACUCUGUCACUGACUCCCUCAAUGACCUUGGCCAAUUUCCUGCCCUCUCUGGGCCUGUCAUGAAUCAAAGAAGGCAUGAGUUAGCUGACUAGGUGAGUCCCCUAUAGCUUUAAAGUUAUAGGUUUUGCUCUGAGGUCACGCUGGCCUUGCCAAGCUAGAAUGGACAGGUUCAAGGGGUGGGAAAAUAAUCUCAAAGAACAUGGGCUUCAAAAUCAGACCUGGAUUAGACUCUACCUCUAUUAUUUUAUGGCAAUGUGACUUUAGGUAACUAAUUUCAUCCUGGUGAUUCUCAAUUUCUCCAUGUAUAAAAAUGGGGGAGUUAAUAGCUACCCUCUUUGGUUUGGGAGA